rnacentral:rRNA from 1 species
UACGUAGGGGGGCUAGCGUUGUCCGGAAUCAUUGGGCGUAAAGAGCGCGUAGGCGGCCAGAUAAGUCCGGUGUGAAAGUCACAGGCUCAACCUGUGAAUGCCGCUGGAAACUGUCUGGCUAGAGUCCGGGAGGGGCGAGUGGAAUUCCUGGUGUAGCGGUGAAAUGCGCAGAUAUCAGGAGGAACACCGGUGGCGAAGGCGGGUCUCUGGGCAGUAACUGACGCUGAGGAGCGAAAGCGUGGGGAGCGAACAGG